GAGUAAUGCGUGACCAACCUGCCCCAUGCUCCAGAAUAGCUCUUGGAAACGGGUGGUAAUGCUGGAUGCUCCAACUUGACGCAUGUCUUGUUGGGAAAGUGUUUAGUGGCAUGGGAUGGGGUCGCGUCCUAUCAGCUUGUAGGCGGGGUAAUGGCCCACCUAGGCUUCGACGGGUAGCCGGCCUGAGAGGGCGGACGGCCACAUUGGGACUGAGAUACGGCCCAGACUCCUACGGGAGGCAGCAGAG
rnacentral:rRNA from 1 species